rnacentral:rRNA from 1 species
AUUGAACGCUGGCGGCAUGCUUUACACAUGCAAGUCGAACGGUAACAGGCCGCAAGGUGCUGACGAGUGGCGAACGGGUGAGUAAUGCAUCGGAACGUGCCCAGUCGUGGGGGAUAACGCAGCGAAAGCUGUGCUAAUACCGCAUACGAUCUAUGGAUGAAAGCGGGGGACCGUAAGGCCUCGCGCGAUUGGAGCGGCCGAUGUCAGAUUAGGUAGUUGGUGGGGUAAAGGCCUACCAAGCCGACGAUCUGUAGCUGGUCUGAGAGGACGACCAGCCACACUGGGACUGAGACACGGCCCAGACUCCUACGGGAGGCAGCAGUGGGGGAUCUUGGACAAUGGGCGCAAGCCUGAUCCAGCCAUGCCGCGUGAGUGAAGAAGGUCUUCGGAUUGUAAACUGCUUUUGUACGGAACGAAACGGCUCUGGUUAAUACCUGGGGCUAAUGACGGUACCGUAAGAAUAAGCACCGGCUAACUACGUGCCAGCCGCCGCAGUAA